CAAGGCUACUAUCUGUGGAAAGUUCACUCAAAGAGCUGAAGAGUGUGAUUUGGGAUUUAAAAGCAAAGGCAGAUUUGGUUGAUGACUUGGUGAACCUGGUCAUUAAAGCAGUAAUUGAUAAGGAUCUCAACCAUAUUGACCAGCCAACCAUGGCCUUGAUGGACGAAGCUACAAAGGCCUUCACUGAAGUGCCGAACGAGGCUCAAUCUCGCGGGAGCCGCCGCACUGCUGCCAGAAAUGACGGAAGGCAUCAGGGCAGUUCUAGGGACAUUGCAAGAGAGGAAAUAGGCAUCGAGGUGAGGCUACUAUCUGUGGAGAGUUCACUCGAAGAGCUGAAGAGAAUGAUUUGGGAUUUAAAAGCAAAGGCAAAACUGGUUGAUGACUUGGUGAACCUGGUCAUUAAAGCAGUAAUUGAUAAUGAUUUCAACAUUGAACAGGCAACCAUGGUCAUGAUAGACGAAGGUACAGGGGCCUUCACCGAAGCGCUGAACGAGAGCCGCCCUGUUGUUGGCGGAAGUGGUGGAGGUCAUGAGGACAGU
rnacentral:lncRNA from 1 species